ACGAACGCUGGCGGCGUGCCUAACACAUGCAAGUCGAGCGGAGUAUUAGCAAUAAUACUUAGCGGCGGACGGGUGAGUAACACGUGGGUAACCUGCCUCAUGCAGGGGAAUAGCCAAUCGAAAGGUUGAUUAAUACCGCAUAACCCAAAGAGUAUGCAUAUACACUUUGGCAAAGGAGAAAUCCGGCAUGAGAUGGACCCGCGGCCCAUUAGCUAGUUGGUGAGGUAACGGCUCACCAAGGCGACGAUGGGUAGCCGAUCUGAGAGGAUGAACGGCCACAUUGGAACUGAGACACGGUCCAGACUCCUACGGGAGGCAGCAGUGGGGAAUAUUGGACAAUGGGCGAAAGCCUGAUCCAGCCAUGCCGCGUGUGUGAAGAAGGUCUUCGGAU
rnacentral:rRNA from 1 species